UACGUAGGGUGCAAGCGUUGUCCGGAAUUAUUGGGCGUAAAGAGCUCGUAGGCGGUUCGUCGCGUCGGCUGUGAAAACCUGAGGCUCAACCUCAGGCCUGCAGUCGAUACGGGCGGACUUGAGUACUGCAGGGGAGACUGGAAUUCCUGGUGUAGCGGUGAAAUGCGUAGAUAUCGAGAGGAACACCAGUGGCGAAGGCGAGUCCCUGGACACUUCCUGACACUGAGGCACGAAAGCUAGGGGAGCAAACAGG
rnacentral:rRNA from 1 species